rnacentral:rRNA from 1 species
GCUUGUCUCAAAGAUUAAGCCAUGCAUGUCUAAGUGUAAAUACGUCUACACUGUGAAACUGCGAAUGGCUCAUUAAAUCAGUUAUCGUUUAUUUGAUGAUCUCUUGUUACAUGGAUAACCGUAGUAAUUCUAGAGCUAAUACAUGCGAAAAGUCCCAACGCAAGGCGGGAUGUAUUUAUUAGAUACAAAACCAAUGGGGGCAACCUCUUUUUGGUGAUUCAUAGUAACUGUUCGAAUCGCACGCGCAAGCAGGCGAUAGUUCAUUCAAAUUUCUGCCCUAUCAGCUUUUGACGGUAGUGUAGUGGACUACCGU